GGGGGCGUGGCUCAGUGGUAGAGCACCUGCCUUCUAGGCACAAGGCCUUGAAUUCCAACUAACCCGCUCCCC
rnacentral:tRNA from 1 species